UACGGAGGGUGCAAGCGUUGUCCGGAAUUAUUGGGCGUAAAGAGCGUGUAGGCGGUUCGGUAAGUCUGUCGUGAAAUCCUGAGGCUCAACCUCGGGCGUGCGAUGGAUACUGCCGGGCUAGAGGAUGGUAGAGGCGAGUGGAAUUCCUGGUGUAGCGGUGGAAUGCGCAGAUAUCAGGAGGAACACCGGUGGCGAAGGCGGGUCUCUGGGCCGAUACUGACGCUGAGGAGCGAAAGCGUGGGGAGCGAACAGG
rnacentral:rRNA from 1 species